AACAUUCAACGCUGUCGGUGAGUUUGGAAGUAUAAAUGAAACCAUUGACCGUUGACUGUACC
rnacentral:pre_miRNA from 1 species